UACGGAGGGUGCAAGCGUUAAUCGGAAUUACUGGGCGUAAAGGGUGCGCAGGCGGUUUGUUAAGUUUGUUGUGAAAUCCCCGAGCUCAACUUGGGAAUUGCAAUGGAUACUGGCAGGCUGGAGUAUGGUAGAGGAAGGUGGAAUUCCCGGUGUAGCAGUGAAAUGCGUAGAGAUCGGGAGGAACACCAGUGGCGAAGGCGGCCUGCUGGACCAAUACUGACGCUCAUGCACGAAAGCGUGGGGAGCAAACAGG
rnacentral:rRNA from 1 species